CGGGCUGUAGUUUAGUUGGCUAAAAUGCACGGCUGGGGGUCGUGAGAGCGUGAGUUCGAGUCUCACCAGCCCGA
rnacentral:tRNA from 1 species